rnacentral:rRNA from 1 species
UACGAAGGGUGCAAGCGUUAAUCGGAAUUACUGGGCGUAAAGCGUGCGCAGGCGGUUUUGUAAGCCAGAUGUGAAAUCCCCGGGCUUAACCUGGGAAUGGCAUUUGGGACUGCAAGGCUUGAGUGCGGCAGAGGAGACUGGAAUUCCUGGUGUAGCGGUGAAAUGCGCAGAUAUCAGGAGGAACACCGAUGGCGAAGGCAGGUCUCUGGGCCGAUACUGACGCUGAGGAGCGAAAGCGUGGGGAGCGAACAGG